UGGAGAUGUGUGACAGUUUAACAAAGCACGUUAAACUCCUUAAUCUGAUGUUAGUAGCACUUGACGUUGCUUCUGGUGUCAAAUGCAGUACACCGCCUAAUGUAGACAACAGCAGGUGGGAUGGCUGCGAGACGUCUUAUAAAAGUAACUGUACUUUGUUGUGUCACAAAGGAUAUCACGUUGAAGGAAUUAAAACUAUCACUUGUCAAGCAAAUCGACAAUGGACAACACCGGGAAAUUGUGUUGUAAAUUUAUGCCAAACAUUAGGCACAGCAAAUGGUUUAUGGCAAUAUAGCAGCAGUACCACAGGUAAUUUGAAAUGUAGAAGUGGAUAUAAAGUUGAAGGGAAUAAAACUAUCGAUUGC